GACGAACGCUGGCGGCGUGCUUAACACAUGCCAGUCGAACGGUGAAGCCCUUCGGGGUGGAUCAGUGGCGAACGGGUGAGUAACACGUGAGCAACCUGCCCCUGGCUCUGGGACAACCACUGGAAACGGUGGCUAAUACCGGAUACGACCCGCCUCGGCAUCGAGUGUGGGUGGAAAGUUUUUCGGCUGGGGAUGGGCUCGCGGCCUAUCAGCUUGUUGGUGAGGUGAAGGCUCACCAAGGCGACGACGGGUAGCCGGCCUGAGAGGGCGACCGGCCACACUGGGACUGAGACACGGCCCAGACUCCUACGGGAGGCAGCAGUGGGGAAUAUUGCACAAUGGGCGAAAGCCUGAUGCAGCGACGCCGCGUGAGGGAUGACGGCCUUCGGGUUGUAAACCUCUUUCAGCUCCGAAGAAGCGUAAGUGACGGUAGGAGCAGAAGAAGCACCGGCUAACUACGUG
rnacentral:rRNA from 1 species